UACAGACUUCAGCAUCCAGUUCACGGCUAACAUUCUCAUCAAAGGCUGGGGCAUUGCCUGCUCCAUCAAGUGAACCAUCAACUCCUGCUUCGAUUGGAUCUCAAGAGGUUCAAAGGCCCCCUCGUAAUGCUGCAUCACCCUCA